rnacentral:misc_RNA from 1 species
AAGUCGUAACAAGGUUUCCGUAGGUGAACCUGUGGAAGGAUCAUUCAUAAUAAAAGUGUUUUAUGGCACUUUUAAAACAAUCCAUAUCCACCUUGUGUGCAAUGUUUUUUUUCAUUAUCAACUCUUUAUUUUAAUUAUUUUGUCUGAAAUAUAUUAUGAAUAACUUAAUUCAAAAAAUAUAACUUUCAACAACGGAUCUCUUGGCUCUC